UACGAAGGGGGCUAGCGUUGCUCGGAAUUACUGGGCGUAAAGCGCACGUAGGCGGUCUUUUAAGUCGGUGGUGAAAUCCUGGAGCUCAACUCCAGAACUGCCUUCGAUACUGGAAGACUUGAGUCCGGGAGAGGUGAGUGGAACUGCGAGUGUAGAGGUGAAAUUCGUAGAUAUUCGCAAGAACACCAGUGGCGAAAGCGGCUCACUGGCCCGGUACUGACGCUGAGGUGCGAAAGCGUGGGGAGCAAACAGG
rnacentral:rRNA from 1 species